GUACCUGUAGCCAUUAGGGUAAAGAUAAGAUGGGUGUCAUUACAGUCCCCAAAAGAAGAAAAAUGCCAUUGAAAUGACAGAGUUUGACUGCUGACAUUCCCAAUUUCUGAGAAUUUUGGCAGGUGGGUGGGUGCAAUUUCCUCUACCCCUAGAAGAAGUCUGAUGACAAGAAAACGCUCAAAAAUGAAAGGGCAAGACAUUUUUUGGUAAGCAUUUUACUCACCUUUUCUCAGAUCCUUGAACAGGACAUCAAAUGGUGCAGGAUUUUUUGCUCCCUAGUGCAGCUAAACUUUAGGUUCUUGUCUCAUGACCAGGAAAAAUUAGGCACAGGGACACACUGAAAGGUGAGGAGAGCAGAAUUUAUUAAAAGAAAGCUCUCAGCAAAAAAGAGUGGGGUCCUGCCAACAGGCUCCCACCUCAGAGACUGAAUACGAGGCCACCACACAUGAGAUAAAGAGGCCAGGUUCCUCCACCCUGCAUAAGAUAUGACUUCCCAGUGGUUCUACCUCAUUCUCCCAGUGUGCAGGUGGGUCCGUAGUCUCAGGUACUCCACAUUGAUUUAUUUUUCUUAUUGCACAUGUGUUAAGGUAUGGAAUUUUUCACUGUAGCCAUGUUUAGGAAAGUCCCCAGUGCACAAUUACCUGGGAGGCAUUUAGCUGUCUCCUGUCUAUCCACAGCGAGCUGAAUGAACACGGGAGGAACUACCACUUAUAAAAUUAUCAGAUCUCAUGAGAACUCAACCACUAUUAUGAGAACCACAUGGCGUAAACCACCCUUAUGAUUCAAUUACCUCACCUGGUUUCUCCCUUGACAUGUUGAUAUUAUGGGGAUUGUAAUUCAAGAUGAGAUUUGGAAUGGGAAGAGAGUCAAACCAUAUCAGGAAUUACAAUGUUGAUGAUGAAAACAAUUAUUUCUCUCCUAGGAGGACACAAAUUCCACAUUUGGGAAAGGCACUAUACCUACAGUUGGAAGUUUUCAUAAAUUCUUUCUUGGAAGAGAUAGGAGAAUUAGGAUGAUCUCCUCUAGGGAAAUAAAUGGGAUAUGACUCUACACCUCUCUGAAAAGUCAUGAACUUGUUCUACUUUCAGUAUACUGGUAUGUAGAAUUAGUCAAAAUGUCACAUAUACGAUGCCUGAGUUAAGUAUGCAUUAAUUAAGUACUAUUUGUUUUUGAAAAUCAGCAUCAGGCGAUUGAAAGAAUGCUUGUUCUGGAGCCAGAGCAGGUUUAAGUUCUGCCUCUGCCACUACUGCAUAAGACUAUGGAAAACUAGUUUGUUUGGUUUCUUUUUUCGGGGUCUCAGUGUUAGCUU
rnacentral:lncRNA from 1 species